rnacentral:rRNA from 1 species
ACGAACGCUGGCGGCGUGCUUCACACCUGCAAGUCGAACGGUGAAGCGCCUUCCUUUUUGGUGGGUGUGGAUGAGUGGCGAACGGGUGAGUAACACGUGAGUAACCUGCCCCCUUCUUCUGGAUAACCGCAUGAAAGUGUGGCUAAUACGGGAUAUUCUGGGUCUGUCGCAUGAUGGGUCUGGGAAAGAUAUUGUUUCGGUGGGGGAUGGGCUCGCGGCCUAUCAGCUUGUUGGUGGGGUGAUGGCCUACCAAGGCGGUGACGGGUAGCCGGCCUGAGAGGGUGGACGGUCACACUGGGACUGAGACACGGCCCAGACUCCUACGGGAGGCAGCAGUGGGGAAUAUUGCACAAUGGGCGCAAGCCUGAUGCAGCGACGCCGCGUGAGGGAUGGAGGCCUUCGGGUUGUGAACCUCUUUCGCCAGUGAAGCAGGCCUGCCUCGUUUGUGGGUGGGUUGACGGUAGCUGGAUAAGAAGCGCCGGCUAACUACGUG